rnacentral:rRNA from 1 species
CCUACGGGUGGCAGCAGUAGGGAAUAUUGCACAAUGGGGGAAACCCUGAUGCAGCAACGCCGCGUGGAGGAUGAAGUUUUUCGGAUUGUAAAGCUCUAUCGUCAGAGAAGAAAAUGACGGUAUCUAAUGAAUAAGCACCGGCUAACUCCGUGCCAGCAGCCGCGGUAAUACGGAGGGUGCAAGCGUUACUCGGAUUGAAUGGGCGUAAAGAGCGCGUAGACGGGGUAGCAAGUCUGGAGUGAAAUCCUGUGGCUUAACCCUAGAACUGCAUUGGAAACUGGUAAACUAGAGUGUGGGAGAGGUAAGUGGAAUUCUUGGUGUAGCGGUGAAAUGCGUAGAGAUUAAGAGGAACACUGGUGGCGAAGGCGACCUACUGGACCGUAACUGACGUUGAUGCGCGAAAGCGUGGGGAGCAAACAGGAUUAGAUACCCUUGUAGUC